GCCCCCAUAGCUCAGCGGAUAGAGCAACUCGGUUCUAACGAGUAGGCCAGGGGUUCAAAUCCUCUUGGGGGCG
rnacentral:tRNA from 6 species